rnacentral:rRNA from 1 species
CGCCUGGGGAGUACGGUCGCAAGACUGAAACUUAAAUGAAUUGACGGGGACCCGCACAAGCGGUGGAGCAUGUGGUUUAAUUCGAUACUAACCCGAAGAACCUUACCCAGACUUGACAUCGCGUGAAAGCCUGUGAAAGCAGGCCCUCCCACAAGGACACAAAGACACUUGUUGCAUGGCUGUCGUCAGCUCGUGCCGUGAGGUGUACGGUUAAGUCCGCCAACGAGCGCAACCAAAAGUCCUGUGUUACCAGCACGUAAUGGUGGGGACUCGCAGGAGACCGCCGGUGUAAGCCGGAGGAAGGUGAGGAUGACGUCAAGUCAGCAUGGCAGUUACGUCUGGGGCUACACACAUGCUACAAUGGACGAAACAAAGGGCAGCAAUACCGCGAGGUGGAGCCAAUCCCAAAAAUACGUCCUCAGUUCAGAUUGCAGUCUGCAACUCGACUGCAUGAAGUCGGAAUCGCUAGUAAACGCAGGUCAGCUAUACUGCGUUGAAUACGUUCCCGGGUCUUGUGGACACUGCCCGUCA